AGUGAACGCUGGCGGUAGGCCUAACACAUGCAAGUCGAACGGCAGCACAGUAAGAGCUUGCUCUUACGGGUGGCGAGUGGCGGACGGGUGAGGAAUACAUCGGAAUCUACUUUUUCGUGGGGGAUAACGUAGGGAAACUUACGCUAAUACCGCAUACGACCUACAGGUGAAAGCAGGGGAUCUUCGGACCUUGCGCGAUUGAAUGAGCCGAUGUCGGAUUAGCUAGUUGGCGGGGUAAGGGCCCACCAAGGCGACGAUCCGUAGCUGGUCUGAGAGGAUGAUCAGCCACACUGGAACUGAGACACGGUCCAGACUCCUACGGGAGGCAGCAGUGGGGAAUAUUGGACAAUGGGCGCAAGCCUGAUCCAGCCAUACCGCGUGGGUGAAGGAGGCCUUCGGGUUGUAAAGCCCUUUUGUUGGGAAAGAAAAGCAGCAGGUUAAUACCCCGCUGUUCUGACGGUACCCAAAGAAUAAGCACCGGCUAACUUCGUG
rnacentral:rRNA from 1 species